CCAGACUCCUACGGGAGGCAGCAGUGGGGGAUAUUGCACAAUGGGCGAAAGCCUGAUGCAGCGACGCCGCGUGAGGGAAGACGGUCUUCGGAUUGUAAACCUCUGUCUUUGGGGAAGAAAUCAGACGGUACCCAAAGAGGAAGCUCCGGCUAACUACGUGCCAGCAGCCGCGGUAAUACGUAGGGAGCGAGCGUUGCCCGGAAUUACUGGGUGUAAAGGGAGCGUAGGCGGGCUUGUAGGUUGAAUGUCUAAUCCACCGGCUCAACCGGCGAUCGCGUUCAAAACUGCAGGUCUUGAGUGAAGUAGAGGCAGGCGGAAUUCCUAGUGUAGCGGUGAAAUGCGUAGAUAUUAGGAGGAACACCGGUGGCGAAGGCGGCUUACUGGACCAUAACUGACGUUGAGGUUCGAAAGCGUGGGGAGCGAACAGGAUUAGAUACCCUGGUAU
rnacentral:rRNA from 1 species